AGAGUUUAGUCCUGGCUCAGGAUGAACGCUAGCGGGAGGCUUAAUACAUGCAAGUCGAGCGAGAAGAUUUGUGCUUGCACAGAUCGGACAGCGGCGCACGGGUGAGUAACGCGUACGCAAUCUACCUUUCACAGAGGGAUAGCCCCGGGAAACUGGGAUUAAUACCUCAUAGUCUCUGGUGUCGCAUGGCACUAAGAGUAAAGCUCAGGCGGUGAAAGAUGAGCGUGCGUAAUAUUAGCUAGUUGGUGAGGUAACGGCUCACCAAGGCGAUGAUAUCUAGGGGGCGUGAGAGCGUGAUCCCCCACAUGGGUACUGAGACACGGACCCAACUCCUACGGGAGGCAGCAGUAAGGAAUAUUGGGCAAUGGAGGCAACUCUGACCCAGCCAUCCCGCGUGCAGGACGACGGCGCUACGCGUUGUAAACUGCUUUUGUAUAAGAUGAAACCUGGGGAUUUAUCCUCAGCUGACGUUAUUAUAAGAAUAAGCACCGGCUAACUCCGUGCCAGCAGCCGCGGUAAUACGGAGGGUGCAAGCGUUAUCCGGAAUCACUGGGUUUAAAGGGUGCGUAGGUGGGCCAAUAAGUCAGAGGUGAAAGCCCGUCGCUUAACGACGGAACUGCCUUUGAUACUGUUGGUCUUGAAUCAGGUUGAGGUAUGCGGAAUGUGGCAUGUAGCGGU
rnacentral:rRNA from 1 species